UCCGGAUUGGUGUAGGGGUUAACAUUGCCGCCUCUCAGAAACGCUUACGUAAGCCCAAGAUUUAUGUAAUCUGGUCGCGGCAGCCCGGGGUUCGAUUCCCCGAUCCGGAA